rnacentral:rRNA from 1 species
AUUGAACGCUGGCGGCAGGCCUAACACAUGCAAGUCGAGCGGAGCGGCGGACGGGUGAGUAAUUCCUAUGAAUCUGCCUGGUAGUGGGGGGUAACGUCCGGCAACGGGCGCUAAUACCGCAUACUAUCAGAUGAGCCUAGGUCGGUUUAGCUAGUUGGUGGGGUAAAGGCUGACCAAGGCGACGAUCCGUCACUGGUCUGAGAGGAUGAUCAGUCACACUGGAACUGAGACACGGUCCAGACUCCUACGGGAGGCAGCAGUGGGGAAUAUUGGACAAUGGGCGAAAGCCGGAUCCAGCCAUGCCGCGUGUGGGAAGAAGGUCUUCGGAUUGUAAAGCACGUUAAGUUGGGAGGCGUUACCAACAGAAUAAGCACCGGCUAACUUCGUGCCAGCAGCCGCGGUAAUAC